AAGUGAAUUAUUUAGGAGAGACAAUCAAUGAGCAGGAGAUGAGGACCUAAUUUAAGGAGUGGUCAUCAAAUAGUCAAGAGGGGAAGGGACUGUGGUGCCAAAUAGAAGGGCUUACCUUAGAUAAGAGCAAGGACACUACACAUAUGAGACAGGAGAGGAGGCAGGGUCUGAACAGAGAGGCAGGUAGGAUGGAAGCCACGGUGGUAGGAAAAUGAAGCAGUUCUUCUGAAACUGCUUUUAUUUUUCUCAGUAAAAGGAGAAGUAAGGUUUUCAGCUUCCAGAGUGAGGAAGGGGAGAAGUGUUGGAUAUUUGAGGAUAGAAGGUGCGAUGUAGUCAUUUCAGAGUGUGGGAAAGUAAACUGACCGGGGAAAAGCAGAAGGACAGUGUUGAGAGCCCACUUGAGAUUUAUGAUCAUAAAUCUAGUGACAACAGUUAGCACUGUUAUUUUUGUCCAUUGUGUUAAGCUGGCCAAGAUCAGGGUUUUGCCAGGCAGGUGGUCCCAAGAACAAGGAAGUGAGUGUAUACAAAGGAAUGAUACAGUGAUUGACUCUGAAAUCUAAAGUGGGUAGGAGAGAUGUGAGACUAUAAGGGCAGUGAUGAACGGUGGGAAAGUACGUUGGAGAUCAUAUGAGGGGCAAAGAAUUGUGCAAAUGGCGUUAUUAAAAGAAGCUGGAAGAGAAAGAGGUAUUGACCAGGGAACAGGAUGCUUGAAAUGAGAAGUUCAGAAGUGGUGUUGUUAUUUGCUGAUGCAGAGGUCCAGGGUACCCGUGCGACAGGAGGGUAGAGGGAGAAAUGAGUACAGUUCAGAUACUAGGGUUUCAGGUGCCCCCUUAUUCACAGGGAUAAUACAUUCACAGAAAAUGUUGACAGGAAUGAGAGGGGGGUGGGGGACUGUGAAUCAAGUAUUGGAAUAUCCAGGGUAUCAGGGGGAGAGUUUCACAGGAGAGAGAUCUGGCAGAAUGCAGCAAAAAGCAAGAUAUGGUGUAGUCUGACGGUGGCAGGUACUUCGGAGUAGCUGGGGGCUUUAAAGCUGGAGGGCAGAGGGGAAAAAUAGUCUCACUUGGGUAGAAGUAAUUCUCCAGCUGUAGGUGGAUCUGCUCUGCUCUGAAUUCCACUCUCUUGCAUUUCAAUAAGCUCUCUUCCUUGCCUUGGCUCUGAGAGGCCUUCCAGAGUGAGGGAUUUAUUGGGGGUUAUAGGGUCAGAAGGAAACCAGGGAACUGUUGGGACUUUCAUUCCCUCUUGUCUGCUACCAAAAUACCAAGGCAGUGUUUUGGAUAUUUAAAAGAACAUUUAAGAAGCCCUUGUUUGUUUCUGCCACUGUGCAACAUUUGUGCUUCUGAAGGACAGGGAGCUGGUAACCAUGGCAGUGGUGUAGAGCAGUGGUGAAGAGGUGGCUUUUAAAUGGGGGAACUUCAGGCAGGGAGCACCCCAGAGCUCAACCCUCAUGGCCUCGUCAGAGCUCUGUGUUCAUUCAGCUUACUUAGGGAGAGAGGUUGAAUCCUUCCCCACUGGGAAGCAAGCUUUGAAAGGGAAGGUUUUGCCAGACUCCAUAUGGAGAGGGUGUGUGCCUGUAAGCAGGUUUCAGGGAUCCGCCUGAAAACCUUGGGUCAGCAGGGAAGUUUGGGCACUCUUUCACGAACAGGACAGCCUGUGAUGGCAAAUGAGGCAGCACUGCGGCAUCCUGGAUGCCGAAAUCUUACACACUGUCAGCUCUCACUGCCCAGCCCUGGACAGGUGGCCACUCACGGGGGUGGCCCAGAGCCCUGGCCAAAAAGGCAGCCAGGCCAUCCCCCACAGGAUGAUAUCUUGUGCCAAGGGGGGGAGAGGAAGAGGGAAAAAAGGAGGAAGGGAGGCCUCUUCCACAUUCCUUGACAGGGAGCCCCAAGAGCCUUUCCAGGACAAAGAAGUGCCCCAAGUGGAUCCAGGGCAAGGCAGGGCAAGGCAGGGCAAGGCAGGCCAGGGCAGGGCAAACCCGGGCCACAGCUCCGGUCCAGGGAAAUCUCAUGACUGCAGUGUUUUGCCGCAGGUUUCCCAGCUGCUGGGGCGGGUGGAGGCAGCAUGGGGUGGUGGGGGUGAGGAGGAGGGAAGUAAACAGGAGACCACAGAGAGAGCCAGUUCCCUGUGUUCAGAGAACACCAGCCGCCUCCGGUCCCCGGUGGGUGGCUGUAUGUGUGGAAACGAAACUGGGAGGGGAAGGGAGAGCGGGAAGAGUAAGCAAGGGCUUCUCGGCUGUUAUCCACCCACCUCGCCUUUCCUGACCCACCAGCCCACUCCCCUCCGUGGUGAGAGGGAGACGGUUCACAAAGCGCCCACCCCCAAGUAUGCGCAGCUGGUUCAGCUGUCGGUGAUUCAGACACUGUCUCAGCAGCUUGUCACCCGCGCUCAGGAGGGGAAAGAGGGGGGGCUUGGGAAGGGGAAGGAAGGGUGAGUGGUACUCACCAGCAUUGGCCUGGGCAUGGGGUGCCGCCUGGGGCUGGGAACAAGGGGUAUCUACCUUCCAACACCUACACAUUUCUCCGCCGGGUCCCCACGACCACGGGGUAGCAAGGGUGGGAUGAGAGCAUGGGGUCACAUCCUAAGGGGGAACUGAAAACAAGGAAGGCGAUGGGAGGGAGGUGGGGGUGUACUGCAGCGGGAAGCAAUGCGGUGCGGGGCUGGCGGGGGCCGCAGGGCAGGCGGCUGCCCGCCGCCUGCCCGCGCGGGGUUAUGCGAGGUAACCGCGAGCCGGGAGAGGGAGGAGGCGGCGGGGGCCGCGGGCCGGGGUGUCUGGCGCUCGUUGGA
ensembl:lncRNA